CACUCAUGUUUCUUUUCAGAUCGUAUAAAUCUUUCGCCUUUUACUAAAGAUUUCCGUGGAGAGGAACAAUAUGAGUUUUAACUAAUUUUUUGAUGCCCUGCUUUAUGCGGGGCU
rnacentral:snRNA from 1 species